AUGCUUCUCUCUAGCCUUCUGAAGGUUGUCAUGGCUUCACUGUGUUUAGGAUCCAUUAUUGCCCAGAAGGUAACUCAAGAGCAACCACAAGUAUUAGGGCAGGAGAAGGAAGCUGUGACCCUGGACUGCAAGUAUGACACCAGUGAUUCACGUUAUAGUUUAUUCUGGUACAAGCAGCCCAGCAGUAGGGGGAUGAUUCUCCUUAUUCUUCAGGAUUCUUCUAACCAGCAAAAUGCCAUAGAAGGUCGCUACUCAUUGAACUUUCAGAAAGCAAGAAAAUCUAUCACACUUGUCAUCUCAGCCUCACAGCUGGAGGACUCUGCAGUGUAUUUCUGUGCACUGAGAGAGCCCACAGUGAGACUUGUGUAG